UUUCACUCUUCCAAUUCAACGUUCAGCGAAACACUCACUGUUCUUUGUUUAGGGUUUGAUAAGCGCGAGCAACAGAGACUCCAUUAUCGAAGGUUUGGAGGAAAUAGAGAGGCGCAUUAAGAAUGGAGAGUUCAAUUGGAGAGCUGAUAGAGAGGACGUGCACAUGAACAUCGGUGAGCCUGCGAAGAAGCUCCACACCGCUCGGAGUAGGAACGAUGAGGUUUUUACUGACUUUCGCCUCUAGUGCCGCGAUGCCGUCGACGAGAUCCUCGUGAGCAUGAAGCAGCUUCAGGAUAUGUAAUUGAAGGUUUCUCUCUAAUUGUACCUCCUGUAUUAAAUUCCUUUGCCGAUCAAGAUAGCAGAGUUCGUUAUUAUGCUUGUGAAGCAUUAUACAACAUAGCAAAGGUUGUGAGAGGAGAUUUUAUUAUAUUCUUCAACCAGAUCUUUGAUGCCUUAUGCAAGCUUUCUGCAGACUCAGAUGCCAAUGUACAAAGUGAUGCACAUCUCUUAGAUCGACUUGUGAAGGAUAUUGUGACUGAAAGUGAUCAGUUCAGAUAAAUGAGUUUGUUAAACUUGGUGGAGAUCAGCUUGUUCCAUAUUAUGCUGACAUUCUUGGAGCCAUUUUGCCGUGCAUAUCUGAUAAAGAAGAGAAAAUUAGAGUGGUUGCUCGUGAAACCAAUGAAAAGCUACGUGCAAUCAAGGCUGAUCCAGCUGACGCAUUUGAUGUAGGAGCAAUCUGUCCAUUGCUAUGAGGCAACUAUCUAGUGAAUGGGAGGCUACUCGAAUUGAAGCUUUGCACUGGAUGUCAACCCUCUUAUCCAGACACCGUAGUGAGAUUAUAAAUUGACAGGGAUGAGAAAUGAGGAGCAAACAAAUCAACCAAUAAAACGUCAUAUCUAAAUGUGUUGCAAAGCUUAAGGUAGCAACUUUAUAAAUUAUUUGAAAGGUUGAUCUUUGGAGGUUACAAAGAUUAUUUAACUACCAGGCAAG